rnacentral:rRNA from 1 species
GCUUACCUGAGUACUACGAAUAUCUAAAUUUAAAACUCAAAGGGCUUGGCGGUGCCUUAAACUUUUUAGGGGAACUUGUCCCGUAAUCGAUAGUCCGCGUUAGACCUUUCCUUCCUUUGUGAAAUUCAGUAUGUAUACCGUCGUCGUCAGGUAACUUUUAAAAAUAUAAAAGUUAGCGAUUAAAGAUAUAAUCUCAAACGUCAGAUCAAGGUGCAGCUUAUGGGGUGGAGAGGAUGAGUUACAAUUAAGAAUUAUAAUUACGAAAAUAAACUGAAACGGUUUUCUGAAGGAGGACUUAAUAGUAAAGAACUUAUGUAAAGUUCUUGAAUAGAGCUCUAAGGCGUGCACACAUCGCCCGUCACCCUCGA